rnacentral:ncRNA from 1 species
UACCUGGUUGAUCCUGCCAGUAGUCAUAUGCUUGUCUCAAAGAUUAAGCCAUGCAAGUCUAAGUACGAGCUCUCGUACAGUGAAACUGCGAAUGGCUCAUUAAAUCAGUUAUGGUUCAUUUGAUCGUACAGUUUACUUGGAUAACUGUGGUAAUUCUAGAGCUAAUACAUGCGAGAAGCGCCGACCUCGCGGGAGGCGUGCAUUUAUCAGACCAAAAACCGGCCGCGUCUUCGGGCGCGUUCGCCUUGGUGACUCUGGAUAACUUUGCGGAUCGCACGGUCUAGCACCGGCGACGGAUCAUUCAAGUGUCUGCCCUAUCAACUUUCGUCGGUACGGUAUUUGCCUACCGAGGUUCUUACGGGAGACGGGGAAUCAGGGUUCGAUUCCGGUAAGGGCGC